AGUAUUGGGUUGGCCAAAAAGCUUGUUCAGGUUUUUCCAUAAGACAGUACAGAAAAACUUGAACAAACUUGUUGGCUAACCCAUAUGCU
ensembl:miRNA